rnacentral:rRNA from 1 species
UGGAAACUGUCUGACUNGAGUGCAGAAGGGGAGAGUGGAAUNCCAUGUGUAGCGGUGAAAUGCGUAGAUAUAUGGAGGAACACCAGUGGCGAAAGCGGCUCUCUGGUCUGUCACUGACGCUGAGGCUCGAAAGCGUGGGUAGCGAACAGGAUUAGAUACCCUGGUAGUCCACGCCGUAAACGAUGAGUGCUAGGUGUUAGGCCCUUUCCGGGGCUUAGUGCCGGAGCUAACGCAAUAAGCACUCCGCCUGGGGAGUACGACCGCAAGGUUGAAACUCAAAGGAAUUGACGGGGGCCCGCACAAGCGGUGGAGCAUGUGGUUUAAUUCGAAGCAACGCGAAGAACCUUACCAGGUCUUGACAUCCCGAUGCUAUUCUUAGAGAUAGGAAGUUACUUCGGUACAUCGGAGACAGGUGGUGCAUGGUUGUCGUCAGCUCGCGUCGUGAGAUGUUGGGUUAAGUCCCGCAACGAGCGCAACCCUUAUUGUUAGUUGCCAUCAUUAAGUUGGGCACUCUAGCGAGACUGCCGGUAAUAAACCGGAGGAAGGUGGGGAUGACGUCAAAUCAUCAUGCCCCUUAUGACCUGGGCUACACACGUGCUACAAUGGUCGGUACAACGAGUUGCGAGCCGGUGACGGCAAGCUAAUCUCUGAAAGCCGAUCUCAGUUCGGAUUGGAGGCUGCAACUCGCCUCCAUGAAGUCGGAAUCGCUAGUAAUCGCGGAUCAGCACGCCGCGGUGAAUACGUUCCCGGGCCUUGUACACACCGCCCGUCACACCACGAGAGUUUGUAACACCCGAAGUCGGUGAGGUAACCUUUUAGGGGCCAGCCGC